GACGAACGCUGGCGGCGUGCCUAAUACAUGCAAGUAGAACGCUGAAGAGAGGAGCUUGCUCUUCUUGGAUGAGUUGCGAACGGGUGAGUAACGCGUAGGUAACCUGCCUUGUAGCGGGGGAUAACUAUUGGAAACGAUAGCUAAUACCGCAUAAUAAUGGAUGACACAUGUCAUUUAUUUGAAAGGGGCAAUUGCUCCACUACAAGAUGGACCUGCGUUGUAUUAGCUAGUAGGUGAGGUAAUGGCUCACCUAGGCGACGAUACAUAGCCGACCUGAGAGGGUGAUCGGCCACACUGGGACUGAGACACGGCCCAGACUCCUACGGGAGGCAGCAGUAGGGAAUCUUCGGCAAUGGGGGCAACCCUGACCGAGCAACGCCGCGUGAGUGAAGAAGGUUGUCGGAUCGUAAAGCUCUGUUGUAAGUCAAGAACGGGUGUGAGAGUGGAAAGUUCACACUGUGACGGUAGCUUACCAGAAAGGGACGGCUAACUACGUG
rnacentral:rRNA from 1 species